CCUCCUUUCUUCCUCCUUUCUUCCUAUUUUUCCAUUUUCUUAAUCCUUAACCAGCCAAGUAGCGUGCGGGAUGAAGGCCCUACGGGUCGUAAACCGCUUUUGCACGGGGAUAACACCCUCCACUUGUGGAGGUCUGCAGGUACCGUGCGAAUAAGGGCCGGCUAAUUCCGUGCCAGCAGCCGCGGUAAUACGGAAGGCCCGAGCGUUAUCCGGAUUCAUUGGGCUUAAAGGGAGCGUAGGCGGGCGUUCAAGUCAGCUGUAAAAUCGCGCGGCUCAACCGCGCCCCGCAGUUGAAACUGGACGCCUUGAGUUCACAACAGGCAGGCGGAAUUCGUGGUGUAGCGGUGAAAUGCAUAGAUAUCUCGAGGAACCCCGAUUGCGAAGGCAGCCUGCCGGGGUGCGACUGACGCUGAGGCUCGAAGGUGCGGGUAUCAAACAGGAUUAGAGACCCCUGUAGUC
rnacentral:rRNA from 1 species